UGUAGCUGCUUAGGGGCG
rnacentral:miRNA from 1 species